UAAUUUAGGUUGCUUAUCGGUUCUAGUGAAAGUCCGCCACUAGAGGUAACGGGGAAAGAUCGGUGCAAAUCCGCCACUGUCCCGCAACUGUAAUAAGACUGUGUUGCUCUUUGAGUCAGAAUGCCCGCCGAUGACAAUUAUUGAUU
rnacentral:ncRNA from 2 species